rnacentral:lncRNA from 1 species
AGCUCCCCCCUCCCCCACAGGGACACACUGCCUGUCCUGCUGAGAAGCCAGAGGAGAGCUCAGCACAGAAACGAACGCUGUAUGAGCAGCCCAAUUUGGGUCUGGCUCACUAAUCCUGCGGCUGGUCUUCCAAUCCCUUCUUGCUCAGGUUCUGGCUCAAGUCUUAUACUCAUUGUGCCUCUUCUUGGACUGGUUUGUAAACUGUAAAUGCUGGUUGUACUGGUGGAGUGCUGCAGCGUGAAAAGUGCUAUCGACACGUGUGUGUAAUUUAGGGAAAUUCACAAACAAAACCUUUGUUAGGGUUUAUAAGGGUGACCAUGUAUUUCAGUGGAAUUUACCUACCACUCAGAAAAUGAAUAUAAGAGCUAGGGAUUGUUGUUCGUUUAUUGUGAUUUUAUUUAUUAUACUCUCAAUAGGGUUCCUCUACCUCAAAAACUCAGAAGUAACUAGUCGAAGCAUGAAGAUGCUUCAUUCAUGCCACAUAUUCCUUCUUCACUUGCAAUCACCCCAUGCAAGUUACACUGUAGCUAGUCUUCAAACAUUCACAACAAAAAGGAUAACAAUAGAUAACAAUGAAAAACUUCAGAGCAAUUUGUGUUUCUUACAAAAAGAGAGAGAAGAAUUUGAACCGUAUGGAGAAGAGAAAAGCGACGAACUGCUGGUAUCUACCUACCUAUCUACCUACCUGUUUAUAUGGGCCUCAUCGCAGCAGUACUAGAGCACCCACCGGCUGUUUGCAUGACAAGUGGGUUCGCACCGUGCCAUUGACAACACCGCCACUACCCUGCAGUUUCAAACAGUUCACUAGGGAACUAUCGGGCAGGGUCACAGGGCCAGUUAACGCACAGCAGGCUGGUUGGUUUACACCUGAGCUUGCCGUGCAGUAACUCGCCAUAUAGACACGGCCUUAGUAACAUGGCAGUAAUUCGGGCAUGGUUUGCACUUGGCUGUUGCAUGAGCAGACAGUGCGGACUACACCCCCUCGUGAGUAACAUGCCCCUCUGUCUGGGGCCCAUAGAUCUGGCAGAACUAUUCAUUGCAAACAGUAUUGGUUACAGCUGUAUUCUCGUUCUGGUUAGCAGAUCACUUCCCAACUGAUCUUGAUCUUCUACUAAUGUAUCUGUUAUUCCCUUCCUCCUCUCCCACUGUCUCCAUAUCCCUUUUAACCUCCACUUUCUA